CAGCAGCCGCGGUAAUACGAAGGGGGCUAGCGUUGCUUGGAAUGACUGGGCGUAAAGGGCGCGUAGGCGGCGAUCAAAGUCAGGCGUGAAAUUCCUGGGCUCAACCUGGGGGCUGCGCUUGAUACUUGGUUGCUUGAGUGGGGAAGAGGGUCGUGGAAUUCCCAGUGUAGAGGUGAAAUUCGUAGAUAUUGGGAAGAACACCGGUGGCGAAGGCGGCGACCUGGUCCUUGACUGACGCUGAGGCGCGAAAGCGUGGGGAGCAAACAGGAUUAGAUACCCCGGUAGUCCCUGUCUCUUAUAC
rnacentral:rRNA from 1 species